CAGUAGCCGCGGGAAUACAGAGGGUGCGAGCGUUAAUCGGAUUUACUGGGCGUAAAGCGUGCGUAGGCGGCUUCUUAAGUCGGAUGUGAAAUCCCUGAGCUUAACUUAGGAAUUGCAUUCGAUACUGGGAAGCUAGAGUAUGGGAGAGGAUGGUAGAAUUCCAGGUGUAGCGGUGAAAUGCGUAGAGAUCUGGAGGAAUACCGAUGGCGAAGGCAGCCAUCUGGCCUAAUACUGACGCUGAGGUACGAAAGCAUGUGGAGCAAACAGGAUUAGAUACCCCGGUAGUCCCUGUCUCUUAUAA
rnacentral:rRNA from 1 species